rnacentral:lncRNA from 1 species
GGAGCCUAGAUGGCAAGCUGUGUGUGCUGCACGGGAUGGAGCUGGAGAAGUGACCCAAGCCCCUUGGAGAAGCCCAGAAGAUGGAGGCCACAGUUGAACAACUUUGAACUUUUGAAGAGAUUUUUGGAUUUUAAUAGAGACUUUUUUUUUAAAGAUUGAAUUUUAAGUAUUUGAAUUUGUAAAGAUGUUCUAAGUCCGUAAAAUGUUUAUCUUAGGAUGUUUAUAUUAAUGUGUGAUCUUUGGGAUAAACAAUAAAGGAAAGGUUGUAGCUUAAGAGUGAUAUGUUUGUGUGCCAAGUUGACAAGAAGUCAGUUGUGCUGGCUAAUUUUAUGUCAGCUUCACACAAGCUAGUGUAAGUCAAAUAAGCCCUUUCCUUCCCACAUUGCUUCUGGUCCUGGUGUUUCAUCACAGCAAAAUUAACCCUAACAAGCACGUUCUAAUUGCAUAUUUAUCCUUCUUUCAAAUAAUAAUGAAUUUCAGAGUUCACCUUUCUGGCUUAGAGUUACUAAGUUAUCAACUUAGAAAACUCCCAGAAAGUUGGACUUACCCAAUUAACAUUGAUUUUGAUCUAAUGGGGCUUUCAUGAUAUUUGAUAAAUUUGUAUGGUCCAAAGAACUAUAGGUCCCCUAAGGAAUAUCCCUAAGCUUACUGAAAAAUGUGCUAAAGUUUAGUUCCCAGAACCCCAUGGACAGGGACAAGGGCACCAGGACGCUCCAUAGUAUUGAAUUGUGCAGAGUGCAGACUUACAACAAGGACUCCCUGUGAGCUGAAAUUCAUGCCCAUGGCCUUUCCAAAAAGAAGGAACAAAAAAGAACUUGUGAACAGCUCUAGAAAAAAAAAAAAGGGUGUGUGUGUGGGCUUUUUCAGGCCCUUCCAGGACAGAGAAGUUGGGUUCCUUCCCCUGACCUCCAUGGGGAUUGGCCAAGAGUUCUGAGAAGACGGUUUUGCAACUAAGAAAUCACAAGGCUGGAGUGAAAUGAAAACAAGCAAGGUCCUUUAUCAGCUGAGGACCGUUGGCUCUACUCUGUAGGACUUCAGACAGAGGAAAAUCAAGGGCUAAAGCAGAAAAAUGUUGCAACAUAGGAAAGACUCCCUUUGCAUGAUGUGCCUGCUACCAACUAUGACAGAUGACAGUCACGGGAGCCACCACCAAAGGGUCCAUGUAUGCUGUCUCACUUUGCAUUUAAUAAUACCCACCUUUACAAAGAAAGGCAAGUAUAUCAGCCCUGUGCUGGAUGUUGAGUCCAAGUGCACAGGUCACAGACCUUGCAUCUGUUUGCAGUGUACAUGGGAUUUUUAUGAUAUCUGUUGAUAAUAAUUUUAUUCAAAUAUGCUUAUUCUCAUGGUCAUAUCAGGAGACUUCUUCAAGAAAAUCGAUCUUUAAAACAUAUAGGCUUAAAUCGUAUUUUAAAAUAUUAUAUUUCAUUUGGCUUUACUUAUUUUGAAAGCUAUUUUAAUGAUACAAAUACCAUACAGUGUAUGUUUGUCAUAUAAAUUUCAAAUAAUGUAAAACCUAAAGUCAACCUUUACUUACUCCCCAAUAUCCAGAAUAAGAAUGUGGGUACUUUUGGAAAUGAUUCUUUCAGAAUUUUACAGUGAUCUACAUCUACAAAAAGAAAGGUGUAGAAAUACUCUUGACUAUGUAUGUAACAUGUAUGUUAUAUAUGUAUGUGUAUAAAUUUACAUAUAUACUGUGCAGUUGUUUUAUUGUAACAAUAAAAUCGUAGGUUACUGUUUUAUAGCUUGCCAUUUUCAAGUUUCUGAGCCAGUAAGUCUACCCUUCUUAACUGUUAAUGUAUGGAUAACUGUUACUGUAUGGAUAGCUGUUAAUGUAUGGAUAGCUGUACAAUGGGUUAUUUACAUGUUCCUUUUUCAUUCUUAUGUCAAAAUAUUUGCUUUGAUACAUUGUAUCUUACUACAUUCUUUUUAAAAAAAUAAUUAUUUAUUUUAUGCAUAUGAGUACACUGUAGCUGUCUUCAGACACAUCAGAAAAGAGAAUUGGAUCCCAUUACAGAUGGUCGUGAGCCACCAUGUGAUUGCUGGGAAUUGAGCUCAGGACCUCUGGAAGAAGUCUUAACCAUUGAGCCAUCUCUCCAGCCCCUUCUUACUACAUUCUUACUACAGUAUAUAUAUUUUAAUAUCUUUCUGUUAUGUUUUUGAAACAGAGACAAACCUCGUCAAAUCAUUUGUCUAGUAACCUAUGUCUACAUUACUAUGGCUUAGGAAGGUCUCUCUCCCAGCCCUCUCCCCUCCCCCGUGUUGGACAGAAAAAACGUGAUUACUCUGAGAAAUUACAGAUAAGACUAUACAAAACAAUGUAUCUAAAAUUUCAAGGAAAAAAAGUAGCAUUUCCCUUUGCAAUGAAUAAUGCUUCAUAUCCUUGUUAACACAUUAAAAACCACCACCAG